GAUGAACGCUAGCGGCAGGCUUAAUACAUGCAAGUCGAGGGACAGCACAGGUAGCAAUACUGGGUGGUAACCGGCAAACGGGUGCGGAACACGUACACAACCCUCCUUUAAGUGGGGGAUAGCCCAGAGAAAUUUGGAUUAAUACCCCGUAAUAUAGUUGAAUGGCAUCAUUUGAUUAUUAUAGCUACGGCGCUUAAUGAUGGGUGUGCGGCUGAUUAGAUAGUUGGCGGGAUAACGGCCCACCAAGUCUACGAUCAGUAGCUGAUGUGAGGGCAUGACCAGCAGGACGGGGACUGAGACACGGGCCCGAAUCCUACGGGAGGCAGCAGUAAGGAAUAUUGGUCAAUGGACGCAAGUCUGAACCAGCCAUGCCGCGUGAAGGAUUAAGGUCCUCUGGAUUGUAAACUUCUUUUAUUUGGGACGAAAAAGGGCCUUUCUAGGUCAACUGACGGUACCAGAUGAAUAAGCACCGGCUAACUCCGUGCCAGCAGCCGCGGUAAUAC
rnacentral:rRNA from 1 species